rnacentral:rRNA from 1 species
UACGGAGGGUGCAAGCGUUGUCCGGAAUUAUUGGGCGUAAAGCGCACGUAGGCGGUUCUUUAAGUCUCAUGGGGAAAGGCUGGGGCUCAACCCCAAGCAAGCCGGGGAUACUGGGGGACUGGAGACAGGCAGAGGCCAGCGGAAUUCCGGGUGUAGCGGUGGAAUGCGUAGAGAUCCGGAAGAACACCGGAGGCGAAGGCGGCUGGCUGGGCCUGAUCUGACGCUGAGGUGCGAAAGCGUGGGGAGCGAACAGG